rnacentral:rRNA from 1 species
AUUGAACGCUGGCGGCAGGCCUAACACCUGCUAGUCGAACGAGUGGCGGACGGGUGAGUAAUGUCUGGUAAACUGCCUGAUGGAGGGGGAUAACUACUGGAAACGGUAGCUAAUACCGCAUACCAUCAGCUGUGCCCAGAUGGGAUUAGCUCGUUGGUGGGGUAACGGCUAACAAAGGCGACGAUCCCUAGCUGGUCUGAGAGGAUGACCAGCCACACUGGAACUGAGACACAGUCCAGACUACUAGGGGAGGCAGCAGUGGGGAAUAUGGCAAAAUAGGCGCAAGACUGAUGAAGCCAUGCCGCGUGUAUGAAGAAGGCAUUCGGGUUGGAAAGUACUUUCAGCGGGGAGGCGUUACCCGCAGAAGAAGCACCGGCUAACUCCGUGCCAGCAGCCGCGGUAAUAC